rnacentral:rRNA from 1 species
GUGCCAGCCGCCGCGGUAAUACGAGGGGUCCUAGCGUUGUUCGGAAUCAUUGGGCGUAAAGGGUGUGUAGGUGGCUAUGUAAGUCAGGUGUGAAAGCCCCGGGCUCAACCCGGGAAGUGCAUCUGAUACUGCGUAGCUUGAGUACCGAAGAGGAUAGUGGAAUUCCAGGUGUAGUGGUGAAAUACGUAGAUAUCUGGAGGAACACCGGUGGCGAAGGCGGCUAUCUGGUCGAGUACUGACACUGAGACACGAAAGCAUGGGGAUCAAACAGGAUUAGAUACCCCAGUAGUCC